rnacentral:rRNA from 15 species
GGCUAGGGGGUCAUCGCGACUUACCAAACCAUUGCAAACUCCGAAUACCGAUGAGUGCGAGCUUGGGAGACAGACGUCGGGUGCUAACGUCCGGCGUCAAGAGGGAAACAACCCAGACCGCCAGCUAAGGUCCCUAAAAUUGGCUAAGUGGGAAACGAAGUGGGAAGGCUAAAACAGUCAGGAUGUUGGCUUAGAAGCAGCCAUCAUUUAAAGAAAGCGUAAUAGCUCACUGAUCGAGUCGUCCUGCGCGGAAGAUGUAACGGGGCUAAAACUAUAUGCCGAAGCUGCGGAUUUACACGUAAGUGUAAGUGGUAGGGGAGCGUUCUGUAAGCCGAUGAAGGUGGAUUGAGAAGUCUGCUGGAGGUAUCAGAAGUGCGAAUGCUGACGUGAGUAACGACAAUGCGAGUGAAAAACUCGCACGCUGAAAGACCAAGGGUUCCAGUCCAACGUUAAUGGGGCUGGGUG